rnacentral:sRNA from 1 species
AAAGUAGGAAAGCUGAACAGAGAGGGGAAUCCUCCUCCUUGUGAAGGAACAAGUUAUAGCAGAGCACCUCCGUUCCUUUUUCUGAGUAAUAGAGAUAGGAAAUCUGCUUCAUGCCUCCUUGUCUGCAAUCAGAUUAGAAGAAAGGGAUUGAGGUUGAUCCAAACCAUCAGGCAAAAGCGCGAUUUCAUUUGCCAAACCUAUGGCAUGCUAAUUAUCAUAUUAGAUUAUAUGCCCUGGACAAACCAAUGCUCUCUCAACUUUACAGAUGCCUAUUUUAACAUAUGAAACAAUUGGACAUCUUGGGUAUAAAUGUUUAAAAGGCAUAUAUGGUAAUUGUCCUAUGUAUGAAAUAUCUAUUAAGGUCUCCAUUUGUUUAACAUUAUCAAACUUGUUGCACAUGUUUGUAGUUGGAACGAUUAUAUAUGUAUAAAACCUGAAAGGGAUGGAAUUGUUUCUUAUUAAGGAU